GAAAUGCGAUAAGUAAUGUGAAUUGCAGAAUUCAGUGAAUCAUCGAAUCUUUGAACGCACAUUGCGCCCAUUAGUAUUCUAAUGGGCAUGCCUGUUCGAGCGUCAUUUCAACCCUCAAGCCUUAGUUGCUUGGUGUUGGGAGCUUAUCCUUCCGCAAGGCGGGACAACUCCUUAAAUUUAUUGGCGGAGUCGCGGUGACCCCAAGCGCAGUAAUUCCUUUUCUCGCUUUAGGUGUUAACGCUGGCUUCUAGCCAUUAAACCCCCUAAUUUUCUAAUGGUUGACCUCGGAUCAGGUAGGACUACCCGCUGAACUUAAGC
rnacentral:misc_RNA from 1 species